rnacentral:sRNA from 12 species
AGACCGCUCCCUUUUUGGGAGAAAGCCCAUACGGACAGGCGGGUCGAAUGCCGA